ensembl:lncRNA
CGGCGCUGGAAGACCGCUACUGGCGGCCCGCCUCAGCGCGGCUGGAGGGCGUCAUCUCGCAGCGGGAGCUUUCUUUAAGCUGCUCUUACUACAGAAACUGUAGUGACAGGAGGAACUUGAGGAACCAAUCCUCAAAAACUACAGAGAAGAAAGCGGGGCCACAAAGAGGGGAAGUGGCUUGCUCAAGGUGAUACAGCAGUUCUUCAGCAGAGGCUGGGAGCGGCAAAAGCCCUGUUACUGUCUCGACUUCUGCAAACUACUUUGGAAGUGUGUGUACAACUUCAAUUCACAUGUGUGUAUCUCAGAAUACAUGAUGAUGUUGUGGUUCUGAACACUUUCAUGCAUGUGACAACUGAGACCUAAAUUCACCUAGACAGCCAAGG